AUCGGUUUGGAAGACAGACCUUAUGAAAGCAGUUUUAGUAAAGCAGUCCUCAGUUCAAGCGCUAUCAAGUCAUCAGAUACCCUUCUUCGUGAGUCUCCUCCUAAGUGCCUAAAUAAGAAACGUUCUGCAAUACAGACCACGUUCGCCAUAUUAAAUGGCUGUAAAAUAAUGAGGAAGUAUCUAUGUCUAAAAUGACUGGUUUAGUAAAAUGGUUUAACCCAGAAAAAGGUUUCGGUUUCAUCACUCCUGACAAUGGUAGCAAAGAUGUGUUCGUUCACUUCUCUGCCAUUCAGAGCAAUGAUUUCAAAACUCUGGACGAAGGCCAGAAAGUUGAGUUCUCUGUUGAGAACGGCGCUAAAGGUCCAUCAGCAACUAACGUUGUUGCUCUGUAAGACUGCUAACGCAUACUGAGACUUACGCAUGCGAAGACGGUGAAUAACCCGAGCCGUUAAGUCAAAGUGAAUAAACCCGCCAUUGUGCGGGUUUUUU
rnacentral:sRNA from 1 species